rnacentral:lncRNA from 1 species
CUUGAAUAGUUGACGUCAUGCGGUUUGAUGGCGUGCAUGUUUGUCAGGUGUUAAUUAGGUAUCAGUUUGUAUGUAUAAUUAGUGUGUGAUGUGCCGUGGGCUAAACUGAUAACCAAGGAAUGUGUCCAAAAAAUAAAAAAAAAUUUUAUUAGUCAUAAGUGUGAGAAUUGUCUGUCCGCCCCCAGAUCUAGUUGGUGAGAGAGGGAAUUUCAUUGUGACCAGGCACAUGCUUUGAAGAAAAAAAGAAAAAACAACAAAAAAAAAACAACAACAACAACAAAAAA